rnacentral:tRNA from 1 species
GUCAGGAUGGCCGUGCGGUCCAAGGCGUUGCGUUCAGGUCGCAGUCCGGUCUUCCGGGCGUGGGUUCGAAUCCCACUUCUGACA